AACAAGGCGUACCUGCGGACCUGCGGAGGGAUCAUUACAAGUGACCCCGGUCUAACCACCGGGAUGUUCAUAACCCUUUGUUGUCCGACUCUGUUGCCUCCGGGGCGACCCUGCCUUCGGGCGGGGGCUCCGGGUGGACACUUCAAACUCUCGCGUAACUUUGCAGUCUGAGUAAACUUAAUUAAUAAAUUAAAACUUUCAACAACGGAUCU
rnacentral:misc_RNA from 1 species